rnacentral:rRNA from 1 species
ACUGACGCUCAUGUACGAAGUUUAGGGUAGCAAACAGGAUUAGAGACCCUGGUAGUCCUAACUGUAAACGUUGUAUACUAGGUGGUUGGAUUAUUGAUCCUUCUGACUGCCGCAGCUAACGCAUUAAGUAUACCGCCUGGGGAGUAUGCCGGCAACGGUGAAACUCAAAGGAAUUGACGGGGGCCCGCACAAGCAGUGGAGCAUGUUGUUUAAUUCGAUGAUACGCGAGUAACCUUACCAGGUCUUGACAUAUACUCGAAUACCAUAGAAAUAUGGUAGCUCUUCGGAGCGGGUAUACAGGUGCUGCAUGGUUGUCGUCAGCUCGUGCUGUGAGGUGUUGGGUUAAGUCCCGCAACGAGCGUAACCCUUGUCCUUUGUUGCUAACAGUUCGGCUGAGCACUCUAAGGAGACUGCCGGUGACAAACCGGAGGAAGGUGGGGACGACGUCAAAUCAUCACGGCCCUUAUGACCUGGGCUACAAACGUGCUACAAUGGGUGGUACAAAGAGUCGCAAGACCGCAAGGUGGAGCUAAUCUCAAAAAACCAUCCUCAGUUCGGAUUGGAGUCUGAAACCCGACUCCAUGAAGCUGGAAUUGCUAGUAAUCGCACAUCAUUAUGGUGCGGCGAUACGUUCCCGGGCAUUGUACACACCGCCCGUCACAUCACCCGAAUUGAUUAUACCCGAAGUACCCGAGCUGACCCCUCGUUGGGAGGCAA